UACGGGGGGGGCAAGCGUUGUUCGGAAUUACUGGGCGUAAAGGGCUCGUAGGCGGCCAAUUAAGUCAGACGUGAAAUCCCUCGGCUUAACCGGGAACUGCGUCUGAUACUGGUUGGCUUGAGUGUGGAGAGGGAUGCGGAAUUCCAGGUGUAGCGGUGAAAUGCGUAGAUAUCUGGAGGAACACCGGUGGCGAAGGCGGCAUCCUGGACCAUUACUGACGCUGAGGAGCGAAAGCCAGGGAGCAAACGGG
rnacentral:rRNA from 1 species